rnacentral:lncRNA from 10 species
AAAGAGUGAAAGAGUGUUGUGUGCUUUUGCUGAGUUUAGGAUGGUGUCAAUUGUGCCUCAGGAGAAGAGUUUAGACAUUCUGUCCUGAUGAAUGUAAUCAAGUCUUUAUUUCAUGGUUUCUCUUAACGCAAAUACGUACAGGUUCAUAUUCGUCGAUGAGGGUGAGAGGAAAACUAUCGCCAACAGAAAGAAUCCAGAUAGGAAGAGAGAAAAAGAAAGACCAGAGAUGGAUUUUGUGUCCUUUUUAAAACAGCCUCAAUCACCUGAUUCCUCCCUGCCACUUCUCUGCAAAUGAUAGAGUUCACACAUCUAUAAUUCUCUCAUAGGUUCAUGUGGGCUGCUCCUCAUAACCCUGCUCAAACACUACUGAGGCAUCAGGAUCUUCAAGAUUCAGAAUCACAUAACAAUUGUUUUGAGCUGAAGACAGCAGAAGAACAUAAGGAUACCCUGUACUUCUCAGGAGGAUAGGAACAUCAGAUUUGGAAUGGGUAGGUCACAGGAAUUUCUCCAGAUGAAUUGAUGAGGAAACUGAAGCGAAAGAAUGUUGACUAAUUUUGUGUGCUGAUGCUUUUCCUUGCAGGGUGCUUUGGUGGGCUCUUCUGGGGACAAAAGAAAGCACAACAAAAAAAGGAAAUAAAUGGCAUAUGCAAACC